GAUGAACGCUGGCGGCGUGCCUAAUACAUGCAAGUAGAACGCUGAAGCUUGGUGCUUGCCCCGAGCGGAUGAGUUGCGAACGGGUGAGUAACGCGUAGGUAACCUGCCUGGUAGCGGGGGAUAACUAUUGGAAACGAUAGCUAAUACCGCAUAACAGUAGAUAUUGCAUGAUAUCUGCUUGAAAGGUGCAAAUGCAUCACUACCAGAUGGACCUGCGUUGUAUUAGCUAGUUGGUGAGGUAACGGCUCACCAAGGCGACGAUACAUAGCCGACCUGAGAGGGUGAUCGGCCACACUGGGACUGAGACACGGCCCAGACUCCUACGGGAGGCAGCAGUAGGGAAUCUUCGGCAAUGGGGGGAACCCUGACCGAGCAACGCCGCGUGAGUGAAGAAGGGUUUCGGAUCGUAAAGCUCUGUUGUAAGAGAAGAACGAGUGUGAGAGUGGAAAGUUCACACUGUGACGGUAUCUUACCAGAAAGGGACGGCUAACUACGUG
rnacentral:rRNA from 1 species